ACGAACGCUGGCGGCGUGCUUCACACAUGCAAGUCGCACGGUGAAGCUCCAGCUUGCUGGAGUGGAUCAGUGGCGAACGGGUGAGUAACACGUGAGCAACCUGCCCCUGACUCUGGAAUAAGCGCUGGAAACGGCGUCUAAUACUGGAUACGAGAAGGGUCCGCAUGGGCACUUUCUGGAAAGUUUUUCGGUUGGGGAUGGGCUCGCGGCCUAUCAGCUUGUUGGUGAGGUAAUGGCUCACCAAGGCGACGACGGGUAGCCGGCCUGAGAGGGCGACCGGCCACACUGGGACUGAGAGACGGCCCAGACUCCUACGGGAGGCAGCAGUGGGGAAUAUUGCACAAUGGGCGAAAGCCUGAUGCAGCGACGCCGCGUGAGGGAUGACGGCCUUCGGGUUGUAAACCUCUUUCAGCAGGGAAGAAGCGAAAGUGACGGUACCUGCAGAAGAAGCACCGGCUAACUACGUG
rnacentral:rRNA from 1 species